rnacentral:rRNA from 1 species
AUUGAACGCUGGCGGCAUGCCUUACACAUGCAAGUCGAACGGCAGCGGACCUUCGGGUGCCGGCGAGUGGCGAACGGGUGAGUAAUAUAUCGGAACGUACCUUUCAGUGGGGGAUAACGUAGCGAAAGUUACGCUAAUACCGCAUAUUCUGUGAGCAGGAAAGCAGGGGAUCGCAAGACCUUGCGCUGAUUGAGCGGCCGAUAUCAGAUUAGCUAGUUGGUGAGGUAAAGGCUCACCAAGGCGACGAUCUGUGGCGGGUCUGAGAGGAUGAUCCGCCACACUGGAACUGAGACACGGUCCAGACUCCUACGGGAGGCAGCAGUGGGGAAUUUUGGACAAUGGGCGGCAAGCCUGAUCCAGCCAUGCCGCGUGAGUGAAGAAGGCCU